AUGAACGCUAGCUACAGGCUUAACACAUGGCAAGGUCGAGGGGCAGCAUGGUCUUAGCUUGCUAAGGCCGAUGGCGACCGGCGGAAGGGUGCGUAACACGUGAGCGACUUGCCCGUCACAGGGGGAUAACCGGCGGAAACGGCGACUAAUACCCCAUACGAUGUGAUGCUGCAUGGCAUUGCAUUGAAAGAUUCAUCGGUGGCGGAUAGGCUCGCGGGACAUUAGCUAGACGGCGGGGCAACGGCCACCGUGGCGACGAUGUCUAGGGGUUCUGAGAGGAAGGCCCCCCACAUUGGAACUGAGACACGGUCCAAACUCCUACGGGAGGCAGCAGUGAGGAAUAUUGGUCAAUGGACGAGAGUCUGAACCAGCCAAGUAGCGUGCAGGAUGACGGCCCUAUGGGUUGUAAACUGCUUUUAUAAGGGAAUAAAGUGAGUCUCGUGAGACUUUUUGCAUGUACCUUAUGAAUAAGGACCGGCUGAUUCCGUG
rnacentral:rRNA from 1 species